rnacentral:rRNA from 1 species
AGUGAACGCUGGCGGUAGGCCUAACACAUGCAAGUCGAACGGCAGCACAGUAAGAGCUUGCUCUUACGGGUGGCGAGUGGCGGACGGGUGAGGAAUACAUCGGAAUCUACUUUUUCGUGGGGGAUAACGUAGGGAAACUUACGCUAAUACCGCAUACGACCUACGGGUGAAAGCAGGGGAUCUUCGGACCUUGCGCGAUUGAAUGAGCCGAUGUCGGAUUAGCUAGUUGGCGGGGUAAAGGCCCACCAAGGCGACGAUCCGUAGCUGGUGUGAGAGGAUGAUCAGCCACAUUGGAACUGAGACACGGUCCAGACUCCUACGGGAGGCAGCAGUGGGGAAUAUUGGACAAUGGGCGCAAGCCUGAUCCAGCCAGACCGCGUGGGUGAAGAAGGCCUUCGGGUUGUAAAGCCCUUUUGUUGGGAAAGAAAAGCAGCAGGUUAAUACCCCGCUGUUCUGACGGUACCCAAAGAAUAAGCACCGGCUAACUUCGUG